UUUCCUUUACAUAAAUAAAGACAUUUGCACCAUAAAUUGAUGCAGAAAAGGCACAAAUUGUUGCAGAACAAUUCACCAGAAUACAGAAAAUGAAGCGUUUGACGUUUAAAAGUUCCCG